AGCGAACGCUGGCGGCAGGCCUAACACAUGCAAGUCGAACGAACCUUUCGGGGUUAGUGGCGGACGGGUGAGUAACACGUGGGAACGUGCCCUUAGGUUCGGAAUACCUCAGGGAAACUUGUGCUAAUGCCGAAUGUGCCCUUCGGGGGAAAGAUUUAUCGCCUUUAGAGCGGCCGGCGUCUGAUUAGCUAGUUGGUUAAGGUAAUGGCUCAUCAAGGCGACGUUCAGUAGCUGGUCUGAGAGGAUGAUCAGCCACAUUGGGACUGAGACACGGCCCAAACUCCUACGGAAUGGAGGAGUGGGGAAUCUUGCGCAAUGGGGGAAAGCCUGACGCAGCCAUGCCGCGUGAAUGAUGAAGGUCUUAGGAUUGUAAAAUUCUUUCACCCGGGACGAUAAUGACGGUACCCGGAGAAGAAGCCCCGGCUAACUACGUG
rnacentral:rRNA from 1 species